CCGCAAGGUUAAAACUCAAAUGAAUUGACGGGGGCCCGCACAAGCGGUGGAGCAUGUGGUUUAAUUCGAUGCAACGCGAAGAACCUUACCUGGUCUUGACAUCCACAGAAGAAUCCAGAGAUGGAUUUGUGCCUUCGGGAACUGUGAGACAGGUGCUGCAUGGCUGUCGUCAGCUCGUGUUGUGAAAUGUUGGGUUAAGUCCCGCAACGAGCGCAACCCUUAUCCUUUGUUGCCAGCGGUUAGGCCGGGAACUCA
rnacentral:rRNA from 2 species